AGGUCACGACUAUUUAGUCACUGGUUGGUCUGCCAGAUGACAGCCGAUUCAUGUGCAAGCCCAGCAGAGGUCAGCCAAGCUGACUCAAACCAGAGGAACAAGCUGAUCACAGAAUCAGGAGCAGAACGAAUGCUCUGGUAAUCCCCAGCCUACUAUCUUCAACACAUCCGCUUUUUCAACUCGCACAAUCUGCCAUGUGGUCUGUGGUUCUGCUUUUCACAAGACUUUUAUCAAAUCCUCAAUCAUUGGACAAUCACACAGUGCAAAAUCUUUAAGGCAGAGCCACAAUGGUAUUAUGAUGGAAAACUUGGGAAUAAGUUCUCUACAAGCCAGUGCAAGUAAAAUUUUCCUAAUGAAAGAGGAAGAAAUAAUGAAUUAGCAAUUCCAUGAAGAAAAGGAAGCUGCCUCAAUGGAAAAAGUCAUCUUCAUCUCCUCAGAUGUGAAGUUUGUCAACCUCAAGUUAGGUAUUUAUAAAACGUGAUUCUUGACUCUGCAUCAGAAUCUCCAUGGAGUCAGCUAAAAAUUCUUACGCUGAGCCUCAAUGCAGCCCUACCAAGUCAGUGUCCCUAACGUGGAGAGGGCCUGGGAAGUACCGCUCAACAAUCUCUCCAGAUGUACCUUGUGCACACUGAUAUGCAAGGUCAGGUGCUGGCUUACACUAGAAUGGCAAGGAGCACCAUUAAGAUACUUAAGUGAGGAGACAGAGUGCCCCAAGUGUCCAUUCUAACAAUGACUUGCUGUGUUUCAGAUGAGGGAGCUGGAAGAGGGAGAAGAGUGAGACAGAGAAACUUAAGAGUCAGGGAAGGGAGAUAGACUGUCUAUCUAGAACAGUGUUUUAUAUCAAGACCUAACACACCACAUAAUCAAACACAUGCACUUACCUGAAAUAAAAGUUUUGAAAUGACCUGA